AGUGAACGCUGGCGGCAGGCCUAACACAUGCAAGUCGAACGGCAGCACGGCAGUAGCAAUACUGUGGGUGGCGAGUGGCGGACGGGUGAGGAAUACAUCGGGAUCUACCCCGUUGUGGGGGAUAACGUAGGGAAACUUACGCUAAUACCGCAUAAGAACUGAGGUUGAAAGCGGCGGACCGCAAGGCGUCGCGCGAUUGGAUGAACCGAUGUCCGAUUAGCUAGUUGGCGGGGUAAAGGCCCACCAAGGCGACGAUCGGUAGCUGGUCUGAGAGGACGACCAGCCACACUGGAACUGAGACACGGUCCAGACUCCUACGGGAGGCAGCAGUGGGGAAUAUUAGACAAUGGGCGCAAGCCUGAUCCAGCCAUGCCGCGUGGGUGAAGAAGG
rnacentral:rRNA from 1 species